ACGAGAUUUUCUGCUUGCUUUUGUUUCGUUAAGAUGAUAAUUAUGAUUUUUAUGGUAGAUAGGUGAUGAAAAGAUGACAGUAUACAGUAAGAGGUGACAGAGCUAGUGAAAAAGAGCGAAUGACGGUAAGUACAAAUUAUAUUAAUAGAAGCAACAAGUACACCAGAAUAACCUCACUACCUGUCAACCUUCUCGAGGUAACAAGGCAGAUUUGGAUAGGACGAACGAAUGGACGGAUAGAUGGCAAAUACAGUUUAAUGUUAUCAAAUGUAAGGUACUUAGCGUGUGUAGGAAAAAAAAAAAAAACAAUGUGCGCAAUAAAGAACGAAACUUGUAAAUUCAGAGAAGAAUAAAGAUUUUAGUUAUAGUUAGCUACGAUCCCCGCCUAAGAAAACAAUGCAGAGACUAAAAAUAAAACUGGUUAUUAGAAUUAAUCUUUUAAAGGUAUAUACAACAACAAUUUCAACUUUAAUUUAUUACUUUGCAUAUUUAAAGACACCAAAUUAAUGACAUGGAAGCUAAUACACAAGAAGAUUGUGGGGAAGGGAUCGGAGCUGAAACGCUUUAAUUGCUGGUUGUCUCACCACUUUUAUUUCAAAUGCCACAGAGGUGACUACCCGAGUUCUCCAUUGCGUUUCUCUGUUAAUAAAAUAGAAAUCGUGUUAAUCUGUCAAUAGAACCAUAAAAACAUCCUUAAAAACCUAUCCAACUUCAUUUAGAGUCAUCAGUUUUCGAGGUGCGGCUAAGUGUUUCAGAAUACAGUUCGUUGUCUAGUCUUCCAGCCUCUCGUCUCCGCGCAGUCCGUUUCACCACUAGCAGUGACAGAGAGGUCGAGGUGCAGAGGUCUCGUGGCGAGACGCUGAAGGAGGCGGUGAAGGGAGGCACCAGGGAACUCUCGGUGUGUACUGACGGAGGCGCGUGUGGUGCAGCGCUGGUGACUUCCCGAGAGCCGGUGACCACCACCCCUUACCGGGAUGGGGGUUGUUCUACGGUGAGCCUCCUGCUCUUCCUAACCGCACGAGUCAACAUCCCCACCCCGACAACUCAGGGCGCGGAGCAGAGGUAGAGGAGUACAGGGAAGAGACUUUUAAUCAUCGAUUGGCCUUGAUUUGUGUCAUGGAAGUGAUUUUGUAUGUUUCUAGUGUGAAUUAUAUAGUUUUUAUGUUUUUGUUUUAUGU